rnacentral:rRNA from 1 species
GUGGGGAAUCUUGCGCAAUGGGCGAAAGCCUGACGCAGCAACGCCGCGUGUGUGAUGAAGGUCUUCGGAUCGUAAAGCACUGUCGCGAGGGAAGAUACGCCUGAAGCUAACAUCUUCAGGCUAAGACGGUACCUCGAGAGGAAGCACCGGCUAACUCUGUGCCAGCAGCCGCGGUAAUACAGAGGGUGCUAGCGUUGUUCGGAAUUAUUGGGCGUAAAGCGCUUGUAGGCGGCCUGUCAAGUCGCGUGUGAAAUCCCCUGGCUUAACCAGGGAAGUGCGCGCGAAACUGGCGGGCUUGAGUGCCGGAGAGGGUCGCGGAAUUCCCGGUGUAGAGGUGAAAUUCGUAGAUAUCGGGAGGAACACCAGUGGCGAAGGCGGCGACCUGGACGGACACUGACGCUGAGACGCGAAAGCGUGGGGAGCAAACAGGAUUAGAUACCCCAGUAGUCC